rnacentral:rRNA from 1 species
GUGGGGAAUCUUGCGCAAUGGGCGAAAGCCUGACGCAGCCAUGCUGCGUGGAUGAUGAAGGUCUUAGGAUUGUAAAAUCCUUUCACCGGUGAAGAUAAUGACUGUAGCCGGAGAAGAAGCCCCGGCUAACUUCGUGCCAGCAGCCGCGGUAAUACGAAGGGGGCUAGCGUUGCUCGGAAUUACUGGGCGUAAAGGGAGCGUAGGCGGACAUUUAAGUCAGGGGUGAAAUCCCGAGGCUCAACCUCGGAACUGCCUUUGAUACUGGGUGUCUUGAGUGUGAGAGAGGUGAGUGGAACUCCGAGUGUAGAGGUGAAAUUCGUAGAUAUUCGGAAGAACACCAGUGGCGAAGGCGACUCACUGGCUCAUUACUGACGCUGAGGCUCGAAAGCGUGGGGAGCAAACAGGAUUAGAUACCCCGGUAGUCC